AGGGUUUUGAUGAGAGAGACGUGAGGUUGAGAGAGCAAUUUUGGGAGUGAGGUUGAGAGAGCGAUUUUGUGAGUGAGAUUGAGAGGGAUUGAGGACGAUGAAUAGGUUCUGUUACAGUACCUCUCACCAUUUUCUUUUUAUUUAUUUCUUUUUAUUUUUUAAACAGAAUAAACAUUGAAACCAUUAAAAGUUACGUUUAAAGUUCCUAGGUUUUAUUUAAUAAUGUUUUCAUUUAGUAGUGUAUAUUAAUAUAUUAAUGUUUAUUUCAAUCCAUUAGCCUCUAGAACCCAACAGCCAGGCGGCUGGGUUUAAUUUCUUGUUUUUUUUUCUUGGUAGUCCAACAGACUAUUUUAUCUUAGUUUUUAUUUUUAAUUUUAAUUUUAAUCUAUUCUGGUUUACUUAUCCGAAUUAGCAUUAAGAUAGCAAAUAAUCAUGAAUGGCCUAGUGGGGGGAGAGUACUUUCAUUGCCUUUAAGUGGAGUGGGUUCAAUACUUGGGGACAACAAUCUUUAUAUUUCUAUUUAUUAUGCUUACCAUUUUGUUUAAUUUUGUAUAUAACUUCUACUAUUUAUUUAUUUUAAGUUUUU
rnacentral:lncRNA from 1 species